rnacentral:rRNA from 1 species
UUCUUGAGUGUGUACUUGUUAAGCCUUUUAAGAAAAAAGUUAUUAACUUAAGGAAUUAUAACAAAGAAGCAACACGUAAAUGGAUUUUCCAUUUUUUAGUGUGUAUCAAUCGAGUUUCUGACCUAUCAGCUUUUGAUGUUAGGGUAUUGGCCUAACAUGGCUAUGACGGGUAACGGGGAAUUAGAGUUCGAUUCCGGAGAGGGAGCCUGAGAAAUAGCUACCACAUCUAAGGAAGGCAGCAGGCGCGUAAAUUACCCAAUUCUAAAGAAGAGAGGUAGUGACAAGAAAUAACAAUACAAGGCCAAUCUGGCUUUGUAAUUGGAAUGAUGGGAAUUUAAAACCUUCCCAAAACUCAAUUGGAGGGCAAGUCUGGUGCCAGCAGCCGCGGUAAUUCCAGCUCCAAUAGCGUAUAUUAAAAUUGUUGCAGUUAAAACGCUCGUAGUUGAAUUUCAAAGAAUCGAUAUUUUAAGUAGCACUUUGUAGAUUAAUCCACAUAACUGAUACUACGUAUCGGCUUUGUGCGAAUUUUUCUACUUAUGUGUUCUUUUAAUUAAAAUGAUUCUUUUUAAGAUCUUUCUUUUUUGCUUCGGCAUUUUAGGAGAUCUUGUUACUUUGAGUAAAUUAGAGUGUUCAAAGCAAACAGAUUAUAGCAUCUUUAUGCGUUUGAAUACUACAGCAUGGAAUAACAAAAUUGAACAAGUCAGAAUUUUGUUCUUUUUUCUUAUUUUGGCUUAGUUACGAUUAAUAGGAGUAGCUUGGGGGCAUUUGUAUUCAGAUGUCAGAGGUGAAAUUCUUAGAUUUUCUGGAGACAAACAACUGCGAAAGCAUUUGCCUAAAAUACUUCCAUUAAUCAAGAACGAAAGUUAAGGGAGUGAAGACGAUCAGAUACCGUCGUAAUCUUAACCAUAAACUAUGCCGACUAGGC